rnacentral:lncRNA from 1 species
ACUUUUUAAAGACUAGAAGGUUGCAUCCUUCUAGUUGAAAAACAUUAAAGUUCUUCUAGAUAACCUCUCCUUUUUGGCAUUUCAAUAUCCUUUGGCAGGCAGGCAGGUCUGCAAGUGGCUAUGGAGAAGCCAACAUGGACUCUACAGGUAUUUAUUCACCCCUAUUGAACACUAGCUAAAAAUACUUUUAAUCUGAUGCCUCUAACAGUCUAACUGCUCUCAUUCUCAGAUCCUGAGAAAAGCAGAUGGCCCUGCAGAUCUUACCACCCAGUCUUCAUCCUUUGAAGAUUGAGUCAUCGAAGGAAAUUAGCAGUUCCUUAAGAGAAGACUUGACUGAUACUCUGCAUGUGUGGAUGAGCCUAAAUUUGGUGCUCCUUUCCUGUGUGAUCAUCUGUUUUCUGCUGCCAACAGAGUACCUCAGAGCAAACUGAGGAGCUUCCAGCAUUCUCCAAGCUAUACUAGCCACUCCACUCCCUCCAUAAAAGGGAUGAAGAUACUUAUUUACUUAAUUUAUGCCAGGAAAUAUAGCAUCAAUAUUUAUUAAGCUCCCCCUCCAAAAAAUACAAGGACUAUAUAAUUUUUAUCAUCAUUUGACAGAUGAGCCCCAAAGGAGUUAAAGCAUUACCCUUUGCUUUUUAUUCUGCUGAGUAUUAUAAACCAUAUGGUGUGGAAUGUGACUGUGUA